rnacentral:tRNA from 1 species
AAAUAAGAAGCAAUAAAUUGCAUUUAAUUUCGACUUAAAAUUUAGAGUAUAAAUCUCUCUUAUUUU